rnacentral:misc_RNA from 1 species
GUCAAAAAGGCAGGGCGUCAUCGUGGUUGCAUUGCCAAUGCCAAUGAAUAUUUCCAGGCGCACGGCGGCGUGCUACAGGGAAGCGGAGGCGGAGGCGGAGGCGGACCGCUGGGCAACGCCGCCGACACGGAGCCGCGGCGCCUGGGCUCUGCGCAUUCGAAUUUCCACGCGCGGGGGCAUGCAAAAGCCUGCGGCGUGGCGCCCUUGCGUGGCUGUGGAUGGCUAUGGCCAGACAGGCAGAGGCGCGCCCAGCUCAAAAGCGAGCGGAAGGCGGAAGCAAUAGAGAAAAAGGAGGGGAAGACCGAAGACGCAGCAGCAGCCAGCCAGCCAGCCAUGCAUGCAGGCAAAGGAGGAUCAGAGGAGACGGCUGUUGCUGUUGCUCAG